ACCAGAACCUUCGACUAAAUUUCCCAACCAACAGAUCCAAAAUGCAUUGCCCUCAAUUUCAAUGCAGCUGAGUACGACGUAGCAACAUGUGAUCCUCUUCUGUACAAUUACGCCAAGUGCGCGUUGACAUCUACUGGGCUCCUGAAGCCUGACAAGACAGUGGACGAUGUGGCCUUGCAGAAGGUUUUCUUGCAGAACAAAUGCAGCAAUGACACCAACUUCGCAAAGGCUUACCCGACAUGCAAGAGCUCCACCAUGAAAUAUUUGAACUUUUUUCGGCUCCGGUUGUGUCUCCAAAAUGCAGUGCCCUAACCAGCUCACUCAAUGGAGGAAAACAUAAUGAAUCGGAACAAGACUGACUGAACUCGCCCUCUAAUGGGAUUUUACCGGGAUUUUGGGGGGAUUUUUUUUUUUUUUUUGGUGCACGGGAUUUUCCUAUUUUAUAUUAAAUUUGGUAGUUUUUGCUCAACAAUAAUUUUAUUAUCCCGGUAAUGAGAUGUUAUGCGAAUAUCAUCAAUGCUAAAAAUUUCCCGAAAGUAUAAACAAUCUAUAGAUAUUUGAACUUGGCUAUUUAGACAGCAUACUUAGAUUGGUACAGAGACGAAAUUUAAAUUAUGUCAACCCACAUCAUGUGUGCAAUAGCACCAAUAGAUUAGGUGAUUUUAAUAUUCGUGAUAACUAAAUUCACGUAUCAAAGAUACCAGUCACACCACCUCACAAAUAAGGGUUGGUCCCAUCGUCACGACCACCUAUAAGUUCGGAUGCGAGUAGUACCAGCGCCCCAAUGGGCUAUUUGAGAAAUGCUUAAGACGAAGCGGGAUAUUAAAUGAUUAUGAACGGCUAUAAAUGCAGUUUAUUAAUAACGCGAAUUCCUAUUAAAUUUUGUAUUGCGGAAUGGUAGCUGAACUAAUUAAAAGGCAGCGCAGUGGUGAUAUAGCAGAUCUCGCUAUAUAACUAAUUUUAUUGCUGUAGUUAGGCAG